CGAAGCAACGCGAAGAACCUUACCAAAUCUUGACAUCCUUUGACCGCUCUAGAGAUAGAGUCUUCCCCUUCGGGGGACAAAGUGACAGGUGGUGCAUGGUUGUCGUCAGCUCGUGUCGUGAGAUGUUGGGUUAAGUCCCGCAACGAGCGCAACCCUUAAGCUUAGUUGCCAGCAUUAAGUUGGGCACUCUAAGUUGACUGCCGGUGACAAACCGGAGGAAGGUGGGGAUGACGUCAAAUCAUCAUGCCCCUUAUGAUUUGGGCUACACACGUGCUACAAUGGACAGUACAAAGGGCAGCGAAACCGCGAGGUCAAGCAAAUCCCAUAAAGCUGUUCUCAGUUCGGAUUGUAGUCUGCAACUCGACUACAUGAAGCUGGAAUCGCUAGUAAUCGUAGAUCAGCAUGCUACGGUGAAUACGUUCCCGGGUCUUGUACACACCGCCCGUCACACCACGAGAGUUCGUAACACCCGAAGCCGGUGGAGUAACCUUUUAGGAGCUAGCCGUCGAAGGUGGGACGAAUGAUUGAGAGGGUGAAGUCGUAACAAGGU
rnacentral:rRNA from 1 species